rnacentral:rRNA from 1 species
CCUGGCUCAGGACGAACGCUAGCGGCUGUGCCUAAGGUAUGCAAGUCGAGCGGACCGGUUUCGGCCGGUCAGCGGCGAACGGUCGAGUAACACGUAGACAACCUGCCUCCGAGUGGGGGAUAACAGCGGGAAACUGCUGCUAAUACCGCAUGUGGCGCCGGGAGGCCUCUCCUGGCUGCUAAAGGCUUCGGUCGCUCGGAGAUGGGUCUGCGGCCUAUCAGCUAGUUGGCGGGGUAACGGCCCACCAAGGCGACGACGGGUAGCUGGUCUGAGAGGAUGAUCAGCCGGACGGGGACUGAGACACGGCCCCGACUCCUCCGGGAGGCAGCAAUGAGGGAUAUUGCACAAUGGGGGAAACCCUGAUGCAGCGACGCCGCGUGGGUGAGGAAGUCCUUCGGGAUGUAAAGCCCUUUUCUCGGGGACGAUACCAGACGGUACCCGAGGAAUAAGCCCCGGCUAACUACGUGCCAGCAGCCGCGGUAAUACGUAGGGGGCAAGCGUUGUCCGGAUUUACUGGGCGUAAAGAGCGCGUAGGCGGAAGCUUAAGCGUGCCCUGAAAGCCCCCGGCUCAACCGGGGAGGGUGGGUGCGAACUUGGGCUUCUUGAGGGGGAUAGAGGAGAGUGGAAUUCCGGGUGUAGCGGUGAAAAUGCGUAAAUUUCCGGAGGAACACCCAGUGGCGAAAGGCGGGCUCUCUGGGUCCGCCCCUGACGCUAGGCGCCAAAAGCGUUGGGGAGCGAACGGGAUUAAAUACCCCGGUAUCCACCGCCGUAAACAAUUGUCAUAGGGUGUGUGUUGGNUAUCGACCCGCACGUCCGCAGCUUAACGCAAUAAGUGAACCCGCCUGGGGAGUACGGCCGCAAGGUUGAAACUCAAAGGAAUUGACGGGGGCCCCGCACAAGCGGUGGAGCAUGUGGAUUAAUACGUCACUAACCGUAGAACCUUACCCAGGCUUGACAUCCCCGGAACCCCUCUGAAAGGAGGGGGUUGCCCCGCAAGGGGAGCCGGGAGACAGGUGUUGCAUGGCUGUCGUCAGCUCGUGUCGUGAGAUGUUGGGUUAAGUCCCGCAACGAGCGCAACCCUCACCGUAUGUUGCCAGCGUCAAGUCGGGCACUCUUACGGAACUGCCCGGGUAACCGGGAGGAAGGUGGGGAUGACGUCAGGUCAGCAUGGCCCUUACGCCUGGGGCUUCACACAUGCUACAAUGGCCGGUACAGAGGGUUCCGAUACCGUGAGGUGGAGGUAAUCCCAAAAAGCCGGUCUCAGUUCGGAUCGCAGGCUGCAACUCGCCUGCGUGAAGUCGGAAUCGCUAGUAACCGCCGGUCAGCUAAACGGCGGUGAAUACGUUCCCGGGCCUUGUACACACCGCCCGUCACGUCACCUGAGUCUGCUGCACCCGAAGCCGCUGGCCCAACCCGCAAGGGAGGGAGGCGUCGAAGGUGUGGCCGGUAAGGGGGACGAAGUCGUAACAAGGUAGCCGUAGGGGAACCUGCGGCUGGAUCACCUCC